ensembl:snoRNA
AGACUUUGGUUCCCUUUCCCAUUGGACCUCAACACUGGUCUUCGUGGUAAUAAAAGAGGGACAGCAUUGCUGAAGCUGGCUCAGAGCCUUGUACUCUGGUAUGAGCAUGUAGGCUAGAUUCAAAGGGGG